GUCUACGGCCAUACCACCCUGAACGCGCCCGAUCUCGUCUGAUCUCGGAAGCUAAGCAGGGUCGGGCCUGGUUAGUACUUGGAUGGGAGAAUCCUUAAACUAGACA
rnacentral:rRNA from 1 species